AUUGAACGCUGGCGGCAGGCCUAACACAUGCAAGUCGAGCGAGCGGCGGACGGGUGAGUAAUGUCUGGGCACCUGCCUGAUGGAGGGGGAUAACUACUGGAAACGGUAGCUAAUACCGCAUACCAUCAGAUGUGCCCAGAUGGGAUUAGCUAGUAGGUGAGGUAACGCCUCACCUAGGCGACGAUCCCUAGAUGGUCUGAGAGGAUGACCAGUCACACUGGAACUGAGACACGGUCCAGACUCCUACGGGAGGCAGCAGUGGGGAAGAUUGCACAAUGGGCGCAAGCCUGAUGCAGCCAUGCCGCGUGUGUGAAGAAGGCCUUCGGGUUGUAAAGCACUUUCAGCUGGGAGGCGUUACCCGCAGAAGAAGCACCGGCUAACUCCGUGCCAGCAGCCGCGGUAAUUC
rnacentral:rRNA from 1 species